CUACUUCAUUUUCUCUUUCCCUUUCUCUUUCAUCAGAAACACGAUUUUCUUUUUCUUCUCCCAGACCACCGCACCGCUCUCCAUUCACCACACCACCGCCGCCGCGACCACUAUCACCUCCUUCUCCAUCCAUCACUGUUGCAUCCUGCUCUGUUUUCGAUGUUGAUUCUUCAGUUUAAAGAGCUAUCUGCAUCUCUCUCCAUAAACCCUAAUUGUUGUAAAUCGUAAGUGAAUCAAAGACUGUUGUUUUAGGUAGAAAAGAGGGUUUUCUUACGCCAUGAAUUUUUUUCGGAGGUAGAUUGUUAAUUCAAUCAAAAGGGGGAAAUUGAAGCAUAUCACCAAAAUGCUUGAGAAUGUUGCCGAAUAGAAAGUGAAAGCUGAAGAAAUAGCAACAGUUAAGGUUGGUUUUGAGAGGCCUAAUGGUGUCAGUGAUAGCAAACCAAGUCUUAUUGGUUCUGCAAAUAAUGGAAAUAGCACUGCUCCUGCUAGCAACCUGAAAUCGCUGUUACUUACAAACGCGGCGAUAUCAAAAGCCAUGAUGUUGCAGCUCAGAUUGCGGUCAAAUAAUUGCAGCUCAACUCGAUGUUUGAAUGCUAAGUGUUAUCGUUUCUCUUUUUAGUAACCAAUUGGUUGUGGUGAAGUUCGUUUUGAUUCUAAUUUGAGGUGUUUGUUUAUUUUUGUUGAUUUUUAGGUCUGAGUUCAGAGAGACUUUCAAGAAGGAAAGUCAUAGCAAUAAAUUUGUUAAGUUGGAUUUUCGUUUUAUGUAAGGCUUGGUGUGGGAUUUAUAUCUGCUUGAUGAACACAGACAAGGGCUCAUAGUACCAACAACAUAUACACGCUAAUAUAAUUGGUGGGCAAAGUUCCAGGCUUGAGUGCAUCUGGGUGUGUGUAGUAUAUUCUUCCAAGUAACUUGGUAACAUUUGGUAUGCAGAAAAGGUCAUAUGCAUCUGUGCAGAAUCCCAUACCAGCAAUUAUGAUGGCUGUGAAAAGGUACCAUUGUGUUUUGGCUGCAUGAAGAGAAGUUAGAACUCCUAGCUGUUCAUGAGCCAAGGUAGAUUUUGAAGGUGGAGUGACCAAUUGAGUCUUUGGUUAUAGUGUGCUCCAAACACUAGUGGUGACUAUGUUCUGGUAGAAGAAGGAACAACUAUUAGAAAUCCAAACACCAAUUAGUGGUGACUAUAAUUUAUAUACACAUUGUAUUAUUGCAAUUUUGUCCGACUAUCAUUUUCCUGUUUAAAUUUUUAAGUUUUUAGCACUUUCAUGCUACGUAUAUAUGCAGAGGAAUAGUCAUGAGCAAUUUUGUAUUGAAGGAUAAUUUAUAAAUGUUCCACAACUUUAAAAUUAUUU